AAGCGAUGCCAAAAUUCCCGAUGCCCAGGCCGGGUGGGAAAAGGCCUUUACCACCCUUCUGGCCGUUAUGGGAGGCAACAAUUAUAUCCACCGCCUAUGAGCAG
rfam:Desulfobacteraceae bacterium 4572_89 ex4572_89_scaffold_5768, whole genome shotgun sequence.